rnacentral:lncRNA from 1 species
UCAGGGCAUCAAAGCCCACAUACAUGGCAUGCUAUUGGAGCGAUAUCAAUUAAACACACACACACACACACACACACACACACACACACGUACCAGCCUCUGGGACAACCCUGAGAAGGGGCUGGUUUAAGCAAGCUCUCUCUCCCCAUAAAGCCAUGAGGGAAAGGGAGCCUUAGCCGACGAGGACAUAGGCUCUGAGGAAGACAGCGUGUGGAAUACAUCAGUUAGCCAGGGUGGAACCAGAGCCAGAGCCAAGUGUCCUGACUCCCAGGGACCCUGGGCACCUGUGGCCCUGAUUUUAUUGGGUGCUUCUGUUUCAGGGCAGUGAAGGGAUGCGAGGUCCCUCAGGCUUGCCUGGUUCCCCUGGACCACCAGGCCCUCCUGGGAUUCAGGUGAGUUUGUCCCCUCUGGUCCCAAUGGUAUGUGGGACAGAGAACCGGUGAGUAUGCAUGUUGUGGUAACAGUGUGAGUAGGGUAAGAGGUGGAGAGAGCCCUGGGGCUGGGUCCUACUCCAGAGCAGCAUUUAGCAACGCCUUUCUCUUGUGUGCAGGGCCCUGCUGGACUGGAUGGACUGGAUGGGAAAGACGGCAAACCGGGCCUGAGGGGGGACCCAGGUCCCGCUGGCCCUCCUGGACUCAUGGGACCUCCAGGUUUCAAAGGGAAAACAGGGCAUCCUGGUCUCCCUGGACCUAAGGGUGACUGUGGAAAACCAGGUCCUCCUGGCAGCAGUG